rnacentral:rRNA from 1 species
GAGUUUGAUCCUGGCUCAGAACGAACGCUGGCGGCAGGCUUAACACAUGCAAGUCGAGCGCCCCGCAAGGGGAGCGGCAGACGGGUGAGUAACGCGUGGGAACGUACCUUUUGCUACGGAAUAACUCAGGGAAACUUGUGCUAAUACCGUAUGUGCCCUUCGGGGGAAAGAUUUAUCGGCAAAGGAUCGGCCCGCGUUGGAUUAGCUAGUUGGUGAGGUAAAGGCUCACCAAGGCGACGAUCCAUAGCUGGUCUGAGAGGAUGAUCAGCCACACUGGGACUGAGACACGGCCCAGACUCCUACGGGAGGCAGCAGUGGGGAAUAUUGGACAAUGGGCGCAAGCCUGGUCCAGCCAUGCCGCGUGAGUGAUGAAGGCCCUAGGGUUGUAAAGCUCUUUCACCGGUGAAGAUAAUGACGGUAACCGGAGAAGAAGCCCCGGCUAACUUCGUGCCAGCCGCCGCUGUAAC